CCCCUAGAUGUUCUGGGCCGCACACGCGCUACACUGAAGGAGGCAGCGUGUACUCCUGGAUCGAAAGAUUUGGGUAACCCGCGAAUCUCCUUCGUGCUAGGGAUUGAGGUUUGCAAUUAUCCUUCAUGAACGAGGAAUUCCCAGUAAGUGCAAGUCAUAAGCUUGCGCUGACUACGUCCCUGCCCUUUGUACACACCGCCCGUCGCUACUACCGAUUGAAUGAUUUAGUGAGGACUUCGGACUGGGACCGAUGCGGCUUUCGGGCUGCGUCGGUAUUCUGGAAAGAUGUCCAAACUGUNUNAUUUAGNGGAAGUAAAANUCGUANCA
rnacentral:rRNA from 1 species